CUUUGUGGCUAUCUUGUAAUUAUAUAGUGUUUGUUAGGAUCGUAGUAGAAGCGUCGUUGCCUGUCGCAGCGACAGUUUCAGAUGCGCACAGUGUGUUGACUCGACGGUACCUCAUCACCUACUGCUAGCGCUAUUGCUCAUGUGUCUAACACUUCCUGGAACUCGCUUGGAACUAAGCGGUAUUCGCACAAAAAUCGGACCCCCACAAAAGUUACAGUAUGCGCUGUUAUCGAUGGCCGACGUUUUACUUGGCUGGGAUCGGCCAGAUUCAGUGUUGAACGAAACCUUUCGAUUCGAAAUUAUCUUUUGUCCACGAAAUUACUCUAAGCGGUUGGAGAAUAACCAGACUAGCCUGAUCAUCCGUAAAUGCAUACCCAACAUUCUAUACGUGGUUUCUAUAAAAGCUCUCGUAGAGCUCAACGGGAGCGACGAACACUACGGGCCUUCGACGAAUGCCACAUUGACCACCCUCACCCAAGAGCCUGGUCAAGUUCGAAAUCUCACGUUCAAUGCGGGCCCCACGCAUGCUUACCUGAGUGGAAGAUCCUUUUGGUUGUACCUGUCUGCUCUAAGAACCAUGUAUCUUUUAUUGUUCAUAACGCAAAAAGAAACGUGUACUAUACAUCGAAUUCCACAAGUUUACAAGUUAUAUAUUCAUUUGGAAGCUACAUACAAUGACGAGACACUUGAACGCGCGCGAAGCUGCAUCAGCGUUGUUACUGAUUCCGGCGUGCCAGGUUCCGUUCGACAUCUGAAGCGGUACAGGAAUCCUCAAGAAACACCAUCCUUGCAAAAAGACUUCGCUCCGUUUCUAAUGAAACAAACGGACCUAUCAAUUAUUACCUUGUACGAUCUUAUAGUCAAAGCCUCCCGCGACUCGAAGAAUUAAUAACAGAUCACACCAAUAACGCGGUGCGUAUAGAUCCGCCUCUAGCAAAAGCCAAUCAUAUGAUCGCUGUGACUUACAGGAGGAACUUAAAGGAGCUUUCACACCCAGUAGCGUAUCUGGAAGCUGAUCUUAUGUAUUCUCAGAUUAUGCAUCGGCGAAUUGUUCUGUCGUUAAGCAGAACACGAGGAACUUCACAUCGUUGAUAAUUUCGUUGUGUUUUUCGCGUAACUCUCGAAGUGUUAAUGAGGAAACAAAAGAGGGCGAGCUGAACCUAGCGGCAAUAUAUUUGCAACGGUACGAUAUUACUAUAGAAGCGAGGUACCGACUCCUGCUUAACGUGGCCGUCAAUCAAAAUGUAUCGGAGCUACUUUCAACACCCGAAAUAGAAACAUUACGGCUGAUGCAGCACCCACAAGCGGACAGCUCCCGUGGAUGAAAGUGCCGGCAAAUAUCAUAUCAUACAUGACAUCUAGCGAACAACUGAAACGGAAGGCUUAAUACCUUCUCAACGAUAGCAUCUACCUAGUUGUAACGUACCACAACCAGACUUAUGAAUGUUUACAUAAGUCUAAUUUCGUCUGCACCACUGCGGUUGACACGCCAAAACAAGUGAAGAAUCUUGAAAGUGACCGAUAUAACGAGCGAAAGCAAAAAUAUCAAGGUGACCUUCGACAGGUGCUUAAUGGCACAGAUGCGGCUAUGGCAGUGGACCAGCGUAUCCAACGACCAAAUUAUAGCAUCAUAGUACAAGCCACAACCAUCAGUCAACAUAAUCGGACGCUUGUGGGAAAAGAGACAGUUCGAAUUCACGAUGAAGCAAAGCGUUCAGUGCUACAAAUGCUAAAUUUCCUAUCAACUUGUUUCUACUUGGCGCCGUUUGCAACAUCGUCCAGACAGUUCAUGUCAAUCAUCACGGGACGGAUCUUUUAGGAAAGGAGGCCUCUAAUAAUUUCC